UGCUUAAUGACACAUCAUAUUAAGUACACCCUGCCCAAUGACAACUUUAAAUGGCCGCGGUAUCCUAACCGUGCGAAGGUAGCAUAAUAAUUUGCCCAUCAAUUGUGGGCUAGAAUGAAUGGGCAAACGAAGUUACUCCUAUAUUAUUAUACCUAAUAUAAACUAACAUUUAAGUGAAGAUGCUUAAAUAAUAUUAAAGGACAAGAAGACCCUAAAGAGCUUAAUCAAAACUAUACUACUAAUAAGUAUACCAAGACUUGGUUGGGGCGACCAAGGACCAAAUCAUCCUUAAAACACUAGAGACAUUACUCAAACCAAAGAUCCUUAUACUCAAGACCUUAAAUCCAGCUACCUUAGGGAUAACAGGCUAAUUCUAUCAUAGAGUUCUUAUCAUCAAUAGAGAUUGGCACCUCGAUGUUGGCUUAGGAUAUCUUAUUGGCGCAAAAGUCAUAAUAAGAUGGUUUGUUCAACCAUAAAACUCCU
rnacentral:rRNA from 1 species